AUUGAACGCUGGCGGCAGGCCUAACACAUGCAAGUCGAGCGGAGCGGCGGACGGGUGAGUAAUACCUAGGAAUCUGCCUGAUAGUGGGGGAUAACGUUCGGAAACGGACGCUAAUACCGCAUCCUAUCAGAUGCGCCUAGGUCGUAUUAGCUAGUUGGUGGGGUAAUGGGUCACCAAGGCUACGAUCCGUAACUGGUCUGAGAGGAUGAUCAGUCACACUGGAAAUGAGACACGGGCGAGACUCUGACGGGAGGAAGCAUUGGGGAAUAUUGGACAAUGGGCGAAAGCCUGAUCCAGCCAUGCCGCGUGUGUGAAGAAGGUCUUCGGAUUGUAAAGCACUUUAAGUUGGGAGGCGUGACCGAAAGAAUAAGCACCGGCUAACUCUGUGCCAGCAGCCGCGGUAAGUG
rnacentral:rRNA from 1 species